rnacentral:lncRNA from 1 species
AUUCUGAUGGAUUGUAAAAGAAGCAUUUUAUUUACAAAAGCAACCCCUUAAUACAGUGAUCAGUAAAUUUCCACUUGUUCAGCUUACAAAGAUAAUCACUGUUUCCAGCUGAAAUAAAUAUAACAUUUUUGCUCAUCCAUUGACACAAAAUUAGCAUUUUUUUUUUAUAAAGCUAGUUUUGAAACAAAAUUGUGAGAUGUGUUUUAGGGAAUUUUGCAAACAGUAAACAAAUCACAAGUCUAAAUUUUAUGAAGUUUUAUCUACUAUGAGUUUGUAACAGAAACAAUUCAGAAAUAUUUAAUAUAGAGAUGAAAAGGCUUACUGAAUCAUUCUUUAAAGAGAAAUUAAUUUAAGAUUAAAUAAAAAUAUAUAAAUAUUUUAAAGUUUAUUUGUAUUCACUUAUUUCUUUCAAAGAAUGGAAACACAUUGUAUAGUCUUCUCAUUCUUAGUGCUUUCUCCUCAUUAAACUUAAAAUCUUUUGUUAUAAGCAUCUUUCUAGCCAGGAGGGAAAGUUGAGCAGCUGCUUUUGUAGAUGAACUUGCUCAGUUGCUACAGCCAACAGGAGUGUUAAAACCAAAAGCAAGAGACGCUUACCCACUUCGUAUCAUUCCUGCAUCAGGCUUGUCAUGCUGCCAGCCCAAGUGAAGAUCCAGCCAAUUCUCAACUCUUAUCGUCUGUGUUCUCGUUUAAUAUCUUGGAUGCUCAACAUCAUUCGCUGUAACUAAUGCAUCAACAGCUAACAGAACACUUUUCUUUAUUUGAAUUAAGGUUGAACCAUUGCCAAUAUUUCAUUGGAUUUAAAGGAUUACAAGCAGCUUUGUGACAACCAGUGGAGACUGUUUUGAAGUUUGUGAUCCCAGUGAAACUUUGGGUGUCUGCUGCAAGACUCCACCAAGCCUUAAACAUGGGGCAGCAAUGCAAAAGUAGAGUCCACAAAAUGUAAGCAGCAAUUUGAACUUGUAAAUGAUAGAGGAACAAAGAAAACAGCGCUCCAAAUAAGGACUUUUGCUACUGUCUUUGGUAGUUCCAAGUACACUAUGUUGAUCUGAUUGACUUAUUUCCUUUGUUUUUGAC